UACGUAGGGUGCGAGCGUUGUCCGGAAUUAUUGGGCGUAAAGGGCUCGUAGGCGGUUUGUCGCGUCGGGAGUGAAAACACCGGGCUUAACUCGGUGCUUGCUUUCGAUACGGGCAGACUAGAGGCAUGCAGGGGAGAACGGAAUUCCUGGUGUAGCGGUGAAAUGCGCAGAUAUCAGGAAGAACACCCGUGGCGAAGGCGGCCCACUGGGCCGGUACUGACGCUGAGGCACGAAGGCGUGGGGAGCGAACGGG
rnacentral:rRNA from 1 species